GAUGAACGCUGGCGGCGUGCCUAAUACAUGCAAGUCGAGCGAACGGACGAGAAGCUUGCUUCUCUGAUGUUAGCGGCGACGGGUGAGUAACACGUGGGUAACCUACCUAUAAGGCUGGGAUAACUUCGGGAAACCGGAGCUAAUAACGGGUAAUAUUUUGAACCGCAUGGGUCAAAAGUGAAAGACGGUCUUGCUUUCACUUAAUGAUGGAUCCGCGCUGCAUUAGCUAGUUUGUAAGGUAACGGCUUACCAAGGCAACGAUGCAUAGCCGACCUGAGAGGGUGAUCGGCCACACUGGAACUGAGACACGGUCCAGACUCCUACGGGAGGCAGCAGUAGGGAAUCUUCCGCAAUGGGCGAAAGCCUGACGGAGCAACGCCGCGUGAGUGAUGAAGGUCUUCGGAUCGUAAAACUCUGUUAUUAGGGAAGAACAUAUGUGUAAGUAACUGUGCACAUCUUGACGGUACCUAAUCAGAAAGCCACGGCUAACUACGUG
rnacentral:rRNA from 1 species